rnacentral:rRNA from 1 species
UUAAUUCGAAGCAAUGCGAAGAACCUUACUUAAGCUCGACAUCCCAAUGACAUCUCCUUAAUCGGAGAGUUCCCUUCGGGGACAUUGGUGACAGGUGGUGCAUGGUUGUCGUCAGCUCGUGUCGUGAGAUGUUGGGUUAAGUCCCGCAACGAGCGCAACCCUUGUCUUUAGUUGCCAGCAUUAAGUUGGGCACUCUAGAGAGACUGCCAGGGAUAACCUGGAGGAAGGUGGGGAUGACGUCAAAUCAUCAUGCCCCUUAUGCUUAGGGCUACACACGUGCUACAAUGGGUAGUACAGAGGGUUGC